GGCCCGCCUAGCUCAAUCGGAUAGAGCGUCAGACUCUUAAGUUCUGAAGGCGGGUUCAUCCCCGAGUCA